rfam:Cryomorphaceae bacterium BACL7 MAG-120910-bin24 contig00108_1_120910-bin24, whole genome shotgun sequence.
GGGGAUCUUCGGAGCCCUUUAACCUCGGGUUCUACGGAACCCCUAGAUGACGGAAGACAGAAA